AAUCAGCGCUGGCGGCGUGCCUCAGACAUGCAAGUCGAACGAUUAAAGCUCUCUUCGGAGAGUGUAUAGAGUGGCGCACGGGUGAGUAACACGUAAGUAAUCUACCUUCGAGUGGGGAAUAACGUCCGGAAACGGACGCUAAUACCGCAUAAUGCAGCGGCAUCGCGAGAUGACAGUUGUUAAAGAAUUUAUUCGCUUGAAGAGGAGCUUGCGGCAGAUUAGCUAGUUGGUAAGGUAAUGGCUUACCAAGGCUACGAUCUGUAACCGGUCUAAGAGGACGGUCGGUCACACUGACACUGAAUAACGGGUCAGACUCCUACGGGAGGCAGCAGUCGGGAAUUUUGGGCAAUGGGCGAAAGCCUGACCCAGCAACGCCGCGUGAAGGAUGAAGUAUUUCGGUAUGUAAACUUCGAAAGAAUAGGAAGAAUAAAUGACGGUACUAUUUAUAAGGUCCGGCUAACUACGUGCCAGCAGCCGCCGCCGUAAC
rnacentral:rRNA from 1 species